rnacentral:lncRNA from 1 species
AAUUUCUGGUAAAGCCUUCUGUCUUUGGGUCUCCCCUUCAUCCCCACUUCUCCAAGCUGUCACAAGCCGGAGUCUUGGUGCUGACAAUCAUUGACUGUCAGCACAGUGCAGGUUACCUUGACCUCCCUGUUAUUCUCAAGACCGUAUCCUCCUUCUUCCCUUCUUCAUCUGAACCCUCACCAUUUUGAGGCCUCCAUUCUCCAGCCUGCAAGUGCUGGAUUCUAUCUCUCCCUGGUCCUUCUGCACCUCUGUGCUGUGGGGCCUUUUUCAGCACCCAUCCCCUGCCUACCUGUCUUGAAUCCUCACCAACUUUCAUGUGUCACAAGUUCGCUCUGGUGGGAACUUUGCAACCACUACAGAUCAUCUGCCUUCAUCCAGAGCAACACUACUGUCCUCAUCCUAACCCAAGUUCUCCCAGGGUCACCUAUAUGCCACGUUCUCCUCCAACCCACAGACUACUAAUCUCACUUGCCCUUCCCAUCCCAUUUCCCCAUCUAUACCAGAAAAAGGCUCUUGGUCCUUUUGCUCCUUGACCUUCCGCCUCCUUUUUGGUUCCUAGUCCUCAGAGGACUUUUGCUCCCUCCACCAUGAAUCCAAAAUUUGUGUUUUGCUACUUGGUUGGUCUUGGUGUUCCCCGACUAUGGCCUCUCCCAGCACCACUUUUCUCCUGUGAUAUUUUUGUUUGUUUGUUUAUUCAUUUCUGUGUUUGUGGUGGGCGUUGAACUUGGACUCAACUAUGCACUUCACUACUGAGCACCCACCUUCAUCCCCCUGUGAUGGUUUUCUAACCUGAUGCUUUUGGGGGGUAUAUCCAGCUCCCACCGCCCUCUCCCAUUCUGAAGGGCCUCCCCCCAGUUGUGCAACUUGUCCAUCUUCCUUGAUUCUCUCUUCUUAGGCCUCCAUUUCCUUCUUUCUGAUUCUGCAUUAAUCUGUAGUACACUGCCCUGAUUUCUGUUUGGUGUUUAAUUGUGGUAAAAUAGGCAUAAUGUACAGUUUUCUAUUUUAACCAUUUUAAGUAUAUAAUCCAGUGGCAUUCUAUGUGUUCACACUUUUUAUGGAAAUUGAAACUCUGUACCCAUUAAACAGUAAGCAUCCAUCCUCCCCUCCCCAGUCCCUGUCGUCUUUCUGCUGGCAUGCUACAUUCUGUCUCUACAAAUUUGACUCCCUAAAUGCCUCAUACAAGUGCACUCGUACAGAAUUUGUCCUUUCAUGACUGGCUUUUCCACUCAGCAUCAUGUCCUCCAGAUCACACAUAGUGUAGCAAUUGUCAGAAUGCCCUUCCUUUUUAAGUCUGAAUAAUAUUCACUUUGUAUAUAAGCCAUAUUUUGAUUAGAAGUUCAUCAGUUGAUAGAUAGUUGGGUUACUUCUACUUUUUGGCUUUUGGGAACAAUUCUAUUAUAAAUGUGGGUGUACAAAUGUCUCUGCACUUACCUGCCUUCACUUCUUUUGUGUUCAUGUCCAGAAAUACAAUUUCUGGGUCAUUUAGAAAGUAUCUCUUGAGCAUUUGGAGGAAUCACCAAAAAAUUUUCAUAGCAGCUGCACCAUUACAUAUAUAGGCAAGCAAUGCACCCGUGGUGCUGUUUUCUACGUAUUUAUGAGCGUGUUCAUUCUGCAUUCUUUUUUUCUGAACAGUGACCAUCUUCAUGGGUACAAAGUGGAGUCUUAUUGUGCUUUUAUUUUCAUUUCCCUAAUGACUGCUGAUAUUGAGUAUCUCUUCAUGGGCUUAUUAGCUAUUUGUGAACCUCCUGAGUGAACUGGUUGUAGAGAGCCUUUACCCAGUUCUGAAUAGAGUCAACGUUUUUUUAUGGUUGAGUUGUUGAGAUUCUUUUUUGUUUGCUUGUUUUGUGGAGUGUGGAUCAAUCCCAGGCCCUUGCACAUGCUAGGCAAGUGUUUUACAGCUGAGCUAUCCCCAGCCCAGCAUUUCUUUAUAUAUUCUGAAAGUUCAUCUCUUAGAUAUGUGACUUCCAAAUAUUUUCUCCCAUCUUACAGGGACCUCCUCCCAUCCCUUUACUCCCCUCUGUCUAAUACAAAGCACCUCCAUACUUACCUAUACCCCUCUUUUGCAAAAUAAGCAUCCACAUAUCAUCAUUUCUAUGAGUAUCCUUUGGUUUACAAAUGUUUUUAUGUUUCUAAUUUUGUUGAGUCCAAUUUAUCAAUUUUUUUCUAUAUUGACUGUGCUUUUGGUGUCAUUUCAUUGAAAAUGUGGUCAAAUCCUUUGUUGUGAAGAUUAUUGCCAAUAUAUUUUCAAAUAUAUAUUGAUAUGGUGUGUUAAACCCAGAGUCUCUCACAUGCUAGUAAGCAGUCUACCACUGAGCUACCUCCAGGACUUUUUAAAUUUUUAUUUUAAGACAGGUUCUCACUAAGUUGCCAGGUUGGCCUUGAACUUGCAUUCAACUGCCUCAGUUUCCUGAGUAGCUAGGAUUACAGGCAUGCAUCUACAUGUUCAGCUGCCAUUGUGUUUUCUUCUAGGAAUGUUUGGUUUUUUAUUUCACAUUUUUUCCCAUU